UGGAUCCAGACUUUGAUUAUGGCUCAGGAUGAACGCUAGCUACAGGCUUAACACAUGCAAGUCGAGGGGCAGCAUGAUUGAAGCUUGCUUCAAUUGAUGGCGACCGGCGCACGGGUGAGUAACACGUAUCCAACCUUCCGUACACUCAGGGAUAGCCUUUCGAAAGAAAGAUUAAUACCUGAUGGUAUCUUAAGCACACAUGUAAUUAAGAUUAAAGAUUUAUCGGUGUACGAUGGGGAUGCGUUCCAUUAGGUAGUAGGCGGGGUAACGGCCCACCUAGCCUACGAUGGAUAGGGGUUCUGAGAGGAAGGUCCCCCACAUUGGAACUGAGACACGGUCCAAACUCCUACGGGAGGCAGCAGUGAGGAAUAUUGGUCAAUGGACGAGAGUCUGAACCAGCCAAGUAGCGUGAAGGAUGAAGGUCCUACGGAUUGUAAACUUCUUUUAUAAGGGAAUAAAACCUCCCACGUGUGGGAGCUUGUAUGUACCUUAUGAAUAAGCAUCGGCUAACUCCGUGCCAGCAGCCGCGGUAAUACGGAGGAUGCGAGCGUUAUCCGGAUUUAUUGGGUUUAAAGGGAGCGCAGACGGGUCGUUAAGUCAGCUGUGAAAGUUUGGGGCUCAACCUUAAAAUUGCAGUUGAUACUGGCGUCCUUGAGUGCGGUUGAGGUGUGCGGAAUUCGUGGUGUAGCGGUGAAAUGCUUAGAUAUCACGAAGAACUCCGAUUGCGAAGGCAGCACACUAAGCCGUAACUGACGUUCAUGCUCGAAAGUGUGGGUAUCAAACAGGAUUAGAUACCCUGGUAGUCCACACGGUAAACGAUGGAUACUCGCUGUUGGCGAUAUACGGUCAGCGGCUUAGCGAAAGCGUUAAGUAUCCCACCUGGGGAGUACGCCGGCAACGGUGCAACUCAAAUGAAUUGACGGA
rnacentral:rRNA from 2 species